rnacentral:lncRNA from 1 species
UGCGAAGUGAUUUAUACACAUGUCGUUACUACAAUCAUUCUCGCUAAAAAAAAAAGACAUGACACUUAAAAUAGAUGACAUAGUUUUAGAAAACAGUGACAUGACAUCAUAUUAAUUGUGAGAUGUAAAAUUUCCUUAUAAAAAUUUAAAUUUUUUUGCAAGAAUUUUAAAUAUGAUAAUAAAAAUAAGGGCAAAUCUUCAAAAUAGCACAUUUCUAAGUUUAUAUCACAAAAAUAUCAAUCAAAAACUAAAAUGAUCAAAAUAGUACUUUUCUAAGUUUAUCCUUUGAAAAUUUUAAUUUUUUUAUUUUUCAAAAUUUGAAAUCUUAUCCCCAAAACCUCAUUUCUCAACUCUAAACCCUAAACCCUAAACUCUAAACCCUAAGUCCUAAACCCUAAACCCUAAACCCUAAACCCUAAACCCUAAACCUUAAACUCUAAACCCUAAACCCUAAACUCUA